UUUUAUCUUUUUUUUUUUUUUUUAAUCCAACGGUUGUGACCACUUAUGCAACUGGGCUGUGAACCUUGCAAUUCUAGUUGCAUAUUUGUACACGCAAGCUUGUCUAUUUCUAUUGCCAUCACUAACACUAGCUUCAGCAUUUCCUUGUAGGCCAUUAGCUGACUUGUGUAUUAGAGCGAUGAUUUGGGUAUUUUAAGAUGCUUGAAAACCUAAAAUAAAGCAAAAUGCGUGUCUGGUGUGCAAGAGCCAAUUUGUUGGCUUGCAGUAGUCGAGGAGUUGCCGUAGGUCGUAAGCCAUCUGGAGGUUGUGGCAAUGGAGGCUUGUGGUAGAUCUGCCAUCCAAGAAAGGUUAAUUCUUCUGAAGCAUGAUUAAUAGUUUAGUAAAUUGAAUCUAUUCAUAUAGAACUAUAAAAUCCAAGACUGCAGCCAGUAACUUGGAUCGCAAUAUGUGGAAAGUAUUAGUCUUCAUUUGUAACAGAAUAAUUAACAUGACUUACUUACUACUUACUAACUGGAUUUCUUCCAUUUUCUAACUAGGGGGACUUGACUGGUGAGUCUACUGGAUUAAUCAGUAGCGGUACUUUGCCCAACAGAUUUGAUGGCAUGACUACAGGGUGACAAAGACAAUUAUUCCCUGCCUAACAAAAGAGACUUCUAAAACAUAUCUGCUAGAACAGUUCCUAUACUUUUUGUAUAAUUUGCUCCAUAUUUAGUUCUUUGACAGCCUCACCUGCUAGAAAAGUCUAUUCAAAUCGGCUAAAUAUAAUGAACUAAAUUAAUAGCCAUGAAAUGUUUUCACUCAUACUAAUGGCAAAUACCCUCUUUCAGUUGGUAGUUCAACACUGAUGUCUCUCUAGGCUUGAGGGAGAGCUCACAAGUAAAUUACACGAAUGUCCUGGAGCAAUUGGGAAUACACUUUUAUUUAGUCUACCUGACCAGGGACAUCUUUGAACUAUAGGUCACCUAACCCAAACUUUUCACUCUUGUUAGGGUGUCCUUUUCUCUUGUUUUAACCUGAAAGGGCUGAAAUAUCAACAUUUCAGGUAUUCUGUUUGGAUAAUGUGCAAAACUUGUGGCUUCACUAAUAAAAAAAAUUAACAAAUGUAUUUUUCUUAAUGUGGUUAAACUAUUUAAAGAUUUGUAUGCAAAAUAUUUCUGCUCAAUUUGUGGUCAAUGAAACUCUGAAAUUUUUAAUUUGAUAAAACACAACUAUGGGUUAAAGGUAUUUGCUUUGGGCAUCUUUUGAUAUUUUUAGAAUCUAGCUCCAUUGCCGUUAGAAAUGGUGUCUCCCCAGUACUGCAAAGUGCUUCCACAAGUUUAAAAAAGAGGCAGAAAAGGAACUGCCAACUAAAUCUAUUUAACAUGGGUAGAAAGUUUCCAUGGAAGCUCUUAGUUGCUGGUUCCCAACACAGCUCCACUGUUAGCCUGUGACCUUGCGUUUAACUUUUUUCGACUUUUGGUGACUUUCACAAAAGAGAAAUGAACUGGUUAAUACAAUAAACAAGACAUUUCAUGGUACCAUUUUGAUCUGUUUGUGGAUAUUGCAUUAAAUCCAUAUGCUUGAAACUUUUCAAUAAUGCAUAUCAACGAAACAAUGGAAUUAAAUAAAUAGUUCAAGC
ensembl:lncRNA